CGGGCGCGGCGGGGCGGGGCGGGGGCGGGGGCCGGCUGGGGACCCCGGGGCGGAGCCGAGCGCGGGCCGGGGCGGGGCGCACCGGGCCGGGUCCGAGGCGCCGAGCGGAGCUGCGGGGGCGGAGCGCCAACUCCAGCGGGAAGACGGAGACCGCGACGCGCUGGCGAAGCGCGCUGGAGCGAGGAAGAAAGGACACCCCGUCCGCAGCGCCACGGCACGCGCCAGUCGGGGUCCCCCGGGACGGGAGCGAGCGGCCAGGGCAGCUGAGCGCGGGAGGAGGCGGCCCGGCAGAGCCCCAGGAUGGCGUGUUGACUCUCCUCAGGGAUGUGGGCAGGGUGCUAGGCUCAGUGAGUUGUGACCGCAGGAGGUCUGGACCCCCCUGGCUCAGAGUGCUCCGAUCCACACACCUCUCCACCUGCAGUCUUCACCAUGGCAGCCCAGGAUGGAAACACCAGUUUUGCACCCAACGUCAAUCCAGCUCAAGAUCACACCUCCUCCCUCCCCUUCAACUUCAGCUAUGGUGAUUACGACCUCCCUCUGGACGAGGAGGAGGACAUGACCAAGACCCGGACCUUCUUCGCUGCCAAGAUCGUCAUCGGUGUGGCACUGGCAGGCAUCAUGCUGGUCUGCGGCAUUGGCAACUUUGUCUUCAUCGCUGCCCUCGCCCGCUACAAGAAGCUGCGCAACCUCACCAACCUGCUCAUCGCAAACCUGGCCAUCUCUGACUUCCUGGUGGCCAUCAUCUGCUGCCCCUUCGAGAUGGACUACUACGUGGUGCGCCAGCUCUCCUGGGAGCACGGCCAUGUGCUCUGUGCCUCUGUCAACUACCUGCGCACCGUCUCCCUCUACGUCUCCACCAAUGCCCUGCUGGCCAUCGCUAUCGACAGAGGUGGACAUCUCUGGCACUUCCCUGAUGCCAGGCGUUACUGCGGACUUACAGAGAGGACAGCGAGGGUGCGGCUCCACCAGGAUGCUCCCAGUGGAAAUGCAGGCAGGUGGGACAGAAGCAAAAGAGAGGAAGACCACAGAACUGCAAAGCUCAAGCCAGGGAUUCACCAAAACUUCAUGAUAUGAGGAAAAGCCCUUUCAACUUCCUGUGGAAGUCUAUUUACUCAUUCACUCCUCCAUCUGUUUCUUAAUCCAACACAUUGUCAGAGUCCAGUUUUGAGUAUGGCAGAUUCCUGACAGAAGGAAUCUAGAUGGAAGAUUUCACUGAGAGAAAGCAUCUGAUUCCAAAAUCACACCAAACCACCAGUAAUAAUGGGCUUUAAAAUAAAAAAAUGAAACAAAGCA
rnacentral:lncRNA from 12 species